AGUGAACGCUGGCGGUAGGCCUAACACAUGCAAGUCGAACGGCAGCACAGGAGAGCUUGCUCUCUGGGUGGCGAGUGGCGGACGGGUGAGGAAUACAUCGGAAUCUACUUUUUCGUGGGGGAUAACGUAGGGAAACUUACGCUAAUACCGCAUACGACCUACGGGUGAAGGCAGGGGAUCUUCGGACCUUGCGCGAUUGAAUGAGCCGAUGUCGGAUUAGCUAGUUGGCGGGGCAAAGGCCCACCAAGGCGACGAUCCGUAGCUGGUCUGAGAGGAUGAUCAGCCACACUGGAACUGAGGCACGGUCCAGACUCCUACGGGAGGCAGCAGUGGGGAAUAUUGGACAAUGGGCGCAAGCCUGAUCCAGCCAUACCGCGUGGGUGAAGAAGGCCUUCGGGUUGUAAAGCCCUUUUGUUGGGAAAGAAAUCCAGCUGGUUAAUACCCGGUUGGGAUGACGGUACCCAAAGAAUAAGCACCGGCUAACUUCGUGCCAGCCGCCGCCGUAA
rnacentral:rRNA from 1 species